UACGUAGGGUGCGAGCGUUGUCCGGAAUUAUUGGGCGUAAAGGGCUCGUAGGCGGUUUGUCGCGUCGGGAGUGAAAAUCCACUGGCUUAACUGGUGGCUUGCUUUCGAUACGGGCAGACUGGAGGUAUGCAGGGGGAGAACGGAAUUCCUGGUGUAGCGGUGAAAAUGCGCAGAUAUCAGGAGGAACACCGGUGGCGAAGGCGGUUCUCUGGGGCAUGUCCUGACGUGAGGAGCGAAAAGUGUGGGGGGAGCGAAACAGGGAUUAGAAAA
rnacentral:rRNA from 1 species